UAGGGAAUCUUCCGCAAUGGGCGAAAGCCUGACGGAGCAACGCCGCGUUUGUGAUGAAGGUCUUCGGAUCGUAAAACUCUGUUAUUAGGGAAGAACAUAUGUGUAAGUAACUAUGCACGUCUUGACGGUACCUAAUCAGAAAGCCACGGCUAACUACGUGCCAGCAGCCGCGGUUAUACGUAGGUGGCAAGCGUUAUCUGGAGUCAUUGGGCGUAAAGCGCGCGUAGGCGGUUUUUUAAGUCUGAUGUGAAAGCCGACGGCUCAACCGUGGAGGGUCAUUGGAAACGGGAAAACGUGAGUGCAGAAGGGGAAAGUGGAAUUCCAUGUGUAGGAGUGAAAUGCGCAGAGAUAUGGAGGAAAACCAAUAGCGAAGGCGACUUUCUGAACUGUAACAGACGCUAAUGUGCGAAAGCGUGGGGAUCAAACAGG
rnacentral:rRNA from 1 species